ACUCUGACCCCGGGUGAGUCACCCUGCUCGUGUUUCAGUGACUCAGCCCAGCCUGGAGCGAGGACCACGUCAGAGAAAGCUGUGUUGCCAUGGAUACUGCUCCCCCCUUCCGAACUGACAUUCCAAAGCAUUUCAUGGACACUGAAUCAGCACCAGAAAGUUUCCAGGCAGAGGACCCUCAGUUCAAACCAAGACAGAAGCUCCUCCAAGUCGUGAGUGGGGCCCACCUUGCUCCAGGGAGGUCUUCUAGGGGUGACGAUAGUAGCCCGUGCCCCUUCUCCGGUUGUAGGAACAUUUCUGGAGCCCCAGCUGUGUGCCGGGCUGGGGGCUGGAGCAGUGGACCAGGGGCGCACAGCUUCAGCCCCUUGGAAGCUUAAAUCCUCAGGAAACACUUCUGGACCCCGCAACCAGGCCGGCCAAGGCGGAAAAGUCCCCCCACAGGAGCUAAGUGAGAAAGGCUUUUAGCUGAAAUGCGUUGGGACUUACGGACAUGAUGUUCGCCGGGCAAAGUGCGUGUUUGUAUUUUAUCUACUAUUCAUAGUCCAGUUCUAUACUGUGAUGUGGUUAAGUUAAGUUAAGUCUCAUAAAUUUCCCCAGAAGACAAAGAUCUGAUGGACAAGGUUUGGUGUGCAUCUGUCUGUGUAAGUCAAUCAGGCUGUAAUCAGCCAUAGGGAGACAGGUUGCUUGCCAAGCCCGUCCACCCUCACACACCCCAUGCCCACACUCGUGCCUUCCUUCCCCAGACUGUUUGAUAAUGGAUCCCUGCCAGGCUUGUCCACUCUGAAUAGUCAUUGGAAAGACUGAUGCUUCCAAAGCUCCAGUACUUUGGCCACCUGAUGCGAAGAACCAACUUAUCAGAAAAGACCAUGAUAUUGGGAAAGAUUGAGGGCAAAAGGAGAAGGAGCAGCAGAGGAUGAGAUGACUGGAUAGCACUACCAACUCAAUGGACAUGAUUUUGAGCAAACUCUGGGAGACGGUGAAGGACAGAGGAGCCUGGCAAGCGGCAGUCCGUGGGGUCGCAAAGAGUUGGACACGACUUAGCAAUUGAACAACAGCAUCGUUCUUCCAGGGACCUGGCCCCUCUAUAGCUCUGACUAGUCUGACCCCACAGGGCUCAUCCCACUGUCCAUCAGUCCCUGGCAUCCACACGGCCCACCUCUCCAAGCUUGACACCUCCCUCUUUCAUGCCCCGAAGCAGUGGCAGCCCCCAGGGUGCCGCCCCCCGGUACUGCCCUGCUCUGCACAGGCCCUGCAACGGUCCUCAACAUUACAGGCUGUCCUUCUAUCCAGUUCCCCUCAAAUGUCCCAAUCUGACCCUGCAAUGCUCCACUUCCUCCCAGAAGCCUGAUGCUGCCCCCUCCCUCCACCUUGUGAACUGGGGAGUGAUUCAAAAUUGACUUAACUCCAGGAAGAUCAUAUUUGCAGUCGAGCUCACAAAACCUGACGUCUUUGUGAAGCUGGCAUCAUUUCGGAAGACUCACACCGGGGUCAGGUAUGUCCCUCCUCUCAACCCUGGGGGCACUGGGUGCAAACCCAGCUUCUGAAACACCCCUGGGAGUCCAGUGGUGAAGAAUCCACCUGCCGAUGCAGGGGACGUGGGUUCGAUCCUCUGUCAGGGAAUGAAGAUCCCAUGUGUCUUGGGGCAACGAAGCCUGCGUGCUGCAACUGCAGAGCCCAUGCACUCUGGAGACCACGCUCCACUACGGGAGAAGCCUGCCCACCACAACGAAGACCCAGUGCAGCCAAAAAACAAAAUAGCCACUUGGCUUCUAUAUGAUGGAGUCAAAAUCCGGACUCAUGACGCAGAACAAAUAAGGACAAGCAGCACUCAACAUAACGAACCACUUUGGGGAAUUGGCUGUAUCUACAGGCCUAGGCCAGUGGUAAAGAACCCACCUGCCAAUGCAGGAGAUGUUAAGAGACAUACAUGGGUUUGAUCCCUGGAUUGAGAAGAUCCCCUGGAGGAGGGCAUGGCAACCCAUUCCAGUAUUCUUGCCUGGAGAAUCCCAUGGACAGAGGAGCCUGGCAGGCUACAGUCUAUGAGGUUGCAAAGAGUCAGACACGACUGAAGUGACUUAGCACACACGCAUGCACAGGCCUAGCUCAUGACAGAGUCCACAUUCAGGCAUAUUCCCAAGUGUGUGUGUGGCCCCCAGGAGACAGGCACCGAAUACUCAGGCAGCACUAUCGCCAACAGGCAGCGACUGGCAACUAUUUCAGCGCCUCUCCACAGCUCCAAGAAUAAGUCACUAUGGAGUAAUUGUACAUGAUUAUCCUGCAAACGUGAGCCCGAACAAACCUUGCUGCACACGGCCCCGGGGGUGAUUCUCACCCUCGUCACACUGAGCCAGGCAUUAGCACACCUACUCAGACAGAUGACCCGGAUCUGCACCCAUGCGGGUGUCCGGCUAUGUCGACCUGCCUGAGCUGGGCCCACUUUUCGCUGAGUGGCCCCAGGUUGUCGUGGCGGAAAGAGGGGCGUGCAGUUGAUCUGGAAGGGAGAGGGGAGCGGCCGCAACACGCCCCCCUCGGGUGCCCCAAGUGCCCCCGGUGCACCUUGUCCCCCUCUCCUUCCUGCUCGCCUGCCUCGCGGACCGCCAGUGACCCCUGGACCGCCACCGUAGAAGCAGCUCGCAUCCAUCGAGGGACCAGGUUCCAGCCAGUGAACACACGUGCCAGCCUGCUUUCCAAGGGGAUCUUCCCGACCCAGGGAUCGAACCCGUGUUUCCAGUGUCGGCAGGCAGAUUCUUUGUCACUGAGCCACCUGGGAAGCCAGGGAAGGUGGGAGAGAGGUGAUAAACCAUGAGCACCUGGCGUCCACACACUCCUCACAGGGACAUGCUGAUCCCAUGGGGACUCACGGGGAAGAUAAAGCACUACCUCUGACCAUGUCUGCCCCUGGCAUCUGACCAUCCAUUUAUCCAUUGGCUCUCUCACACGUGUCUGUUGUUCUGAGCGGUCAGUGGGUGGGCUCUGGGGAACCCUAGCUUCCCAGCUCUUGGCUGAAUGGCUGGGACAGGGUCUCCCUUCUCCUGGUGCUUCUGUGUUUCUCAUCUCUGAGGUGCAUUUGAUGCAGACAAAGAGCCCUCUCUCCCUGAUAUCUAGCCGCAGCCACUAGAAUUCCACCAUCAAAGCCACCCUCUGGACUUAGGAAAGAUACACGUGAAAACACAAAUGAGACAAAACCAGACAACACCUUGGCAAUAAAUUGUGGGACAGACGGAAACGCAAGGGAUGCGAAGUUCCUGCGACAGGGCAGUGGUUUCACCUCCCUCCCCCAGACACUCACGGCACAGUUGGCUCCUAUCUGCGCCCACCUGCCCCCGCCUCUCCACCCAGGAUGACCACGUGUGCGUCAUCCUCGCCACCAGGGGGCGCAGAGGAGUCCAGUCUCCGCACCUGGAGACCCAGG
ensembl:lncRNA